rnacentral:other from 1 species
CAUGCCCUGCUGUGUUCGUGAUAUUGCACCUCUGGUUUUGAGCCAACAUUCACACAACGGACUUCUGUCUCACAGAAAUAACGCGAUAGGCCUGAGCCAAGGCGGCGUUUCUGGGUCGGGGUCCACCUGCGCAAGCAGGUUCAAAACUUAGCAGUACACGGCACUUGCGGGGUAUUU